AUCAAAGCAACGCCAAUUAGGGCGCCAGAGAGAUGUGCAAUGUGAUUAACAUUUUGCAACGCGGAACCUCCAUGAAUACCUCCUGCUAAUCCUGUUGAAGCUUGGGCUGCUUCCAUCACCCUUUCUAUAACAAACUGUCCCAAUAUAAGUACUUCAAGAAUCUUUCUCCAAUCCCAAGACAUCUUCACAAGUACACUAAUAGCAAAGAGUCCAAACACUGCACCAGACGCACCA
rnacentral:misc_RNA from 1 species